rnacentral:rRNA from 1 species
UACGUAGGGUGCAGGCGUUAAUCGGAAUUACUGGGCGUAAAGCGUGCGCAGGCGGUUUCUUAAGUCAGAUGUGAAAGCCCCGGGCUUAACCGGGGAACUGCGUCCGAUACUGGAUGGCUUGAGAUCGGGAGAGGGAUGCGGAAUUCCAGGUGUAGCGGUGAAAUGCGUAGAUAUCUGGAGGAACACCGGUGGCGAAGGCGGCAUCCUGGACCGACACUGACACUGAGGAGCGAAAGCCAGGGGAGCAAACGGG